rnacentral:rRNA from 1 species
AGUGAACGCUGGCGGUAGGCCUAGCUCAUGCACGUCGAACGGGAGCACAGUACGUGUUUGCUCGUACGAGUGGCGAUUGCCGGAUGUUGGCGGAAUACGUCGGAAUCUACUUUUUCGUGGGGGAUAACGUAGGUAAACUUACGCUAAUACCGCAUACGACCUACGGGUGAAAGCAGCGGAUCUUCGGAUCUUGCGCGAUUGAAUGAGCCGAUGUCGGAUUAGCUAGUUGGCGGGGUACAGGCCCACCAAGGCGACGAUCCGUAGCUGGUCUGAGAGGAUGAUCAGCCACACUGGAACUGCGACACGGUCCAGACUCCUACGGGAGGCAGCAGUGGGGAAUAUUGGACAAUGGGCGCAAGCCUGAUCCAGCCAUACCGCGUGGGUGAAGAAGGCCUUCGGGUUGUAAAGCCCUUUUGUUGGGAAAGAAAAGCAGCAGGUUAAUACCCCGCUGUUCUGACGGUACCCAAAGAAUAAGCACCGGCUAACUUCGUG